AUCCAGGUGACGAGUCCCAAAUAGGAAGAAACGUACCUCCUGGAU
rnacentral:hammerhead_ribozyme from 1 species